rnacentral:rRNA from 1 species
AACGAACGUUGGCGGCGUGCCUAACACAUGCAAGUCGAGCGCGGGCAGGACUUCGGUCCUAUUCCGAGCGGCGCACGGGUGAGUAACACGUGAGUAACCUGCCUCGAAGUUUGGGAUAACCGCCCGAAAGGGUGGCUAAUACCGGAUAAGCCCCCACUGGCACAGGCCAGAGAGGGAAAAGCCUUGGCGCUUCGAGAUGGGCUCGCGUCCCAUUAGCUAGUUGGUGAGGUAACGGCUCACCAAGGCGAAGAUGGGUAGCUGGUCUGAGAGGAUGAUCAGCCACACUGGAACUGAGACACGGUCCAGACUCCUACGGGAGGCAGCAGUGGGGAAUAUUGCGCAAUGGGCGAAAGCCUGACGCAGCAACGCCGCGUGGGUGAAGAAGGUCUUCGGAUCGUAAAGCCCUGUCAGGAGGGACGAAACAAAUGACGGUACCUCCAAAGGAAGCACUGGCUAACUCCGUGCCAGCAGCCGCGGUAAUGUCAC